UUAUUUAUUGAAACCAAAUAUAACAUGUUAACAAGCUCAUUAAAAGGUCACAUGAAGCUAAACCCAAAACAAGAACCCAUUCCAAGAAUCUAUUAUCUGAGCGCACAAGAACUCAUUCCCCCUUCCCUCCCCCCAAAACUUUCCAAGAAGCCUUCCAAGAAUUUAUUUACUAGCUGCCCAAUAACUCAUGCGCGAAGGGAACCCCUCCCCCACCACGACUGUGGGGGUCGCGUGUAUUUGUGCGAACCUAGCCUCUUUUUUUAUGUUUUUGCCCUAUUGAGAAUUACAGGGAAUUGAUCUCCUUUCAAAAUAUAUAUGUUAUACCACUGCUUUAGAAUAUUAGCACGACCGAGUGCGACCUAUCAACACUCGUUUUCACUUUUCAUAUAUAUGCUGUUGUCGUUUCAACGCGUCGGCAACGUAAAAC
rnacentral:lncRNA from 1 species